GGGGUGGCCGUUUUUCUGCGUGGACCAAGCAGGGUCCCAGUUCAAGUUUCUGCUGCGUAUCUGAUAAUCUUGAGGUAUUUAUGAAGGACUCCUUUGAAAGUUCUCUACUGAGUUUCCUUAAGGAAUUGGAAUAUUAUUCAAUCCAGGUUUAAGUCCUUCAGCAUCUGACAUUCUCCUGGCAACUGUAAUUGAAUCAAUGAUGACUCAUCUGAGAUGAGCAAGUUGGUCCAGUCAGACCAAACAAAAGACAUUCUAUAAUCAGGGGAGAAGUCUUCUCUAUAUCUCUCUUAUAUGAGCAAAUUUAAUGACCUCCACCAUCUCUAAG
rnacentral:lncRNA from 1 species